AGAUUGAACGCUGGCGGCAGGCCUAACACAUGCAAGUCGAGCGGCAGCACGGGUACUUGUACCUGGUGGCGAGCGGCGGACGGGUGAGUAAUGCCUAGGAAUCUGCCUGAUAGUGGGGGAUAACGCUCGGAAACGGACGCUAAUACCGCAUACGUCCUACGGGAGAAAGCAGGGGACCUUCGGGCCUUGCGCUAUCAGAUGAGCCUAGGUCGGAUUAGCUAGUUGGUGGGGUAAUGGCUCACCAGGGCGACGAUCCGUAACUGGUCUGAGAGGAUGAUCAGUCACACUGGAACUGAGACACGGUCCAGACU
rnacentral:rRNA from 1 species